GACGACGCUGGCGGCGUGCUUAACACAUGCAAGUCGAACGGACGAGUGAGAUAAGUUUACUUAACUCACAAGUUAGUGGCGGACGGGUGAGUAACACGUGGAUAAUCUACCUGCAACACCGGGAUAACGCUGUGAAAACGGUGCUAAUACCGGAUACGUUCCCUUGUGCGCAUGUAUGAGGGAAGAAAGCUCAGGCGGUUGCAGAUGAGUCCGCGGCUGAUUAGCUAGUUGGUGAGGUAAAGGCUCACCAAGGCGAUGAUCAGUAGCCGGCCUGAGAGGGUGAACGGGCCACACUGGGACUGAGACACGGCCCAGACUCCUACGGGAGGCAGCAGUGGGGAAUCUUCCGCAAUGGGCGCAAGCCUGACGGAGCAACGCCGCGUGGGUGAAGAAGGCCUUCGGGUUGUAAAGCCCUGUCUUAUGGGAAGAAGUCAGUGACGGUACCAUAGGAGGAAGCCACGGCUAACUACGUG
rnacentral:rRNA from 1 species